rnacentral:rRNA from 1 species
CGGUGCGAUCAUACCAGCACUAAUGCACCGGAUCCCAUCAGAACUCCGCAGUUAAGCGUGCUUGGGCGAGAGUAGUACUAGGAUGGGUUGACCCCCUGGGAAGUCCUCGUGUUGCAACCC